rnacentral:ncRNA from 1 species
AACACGGGUGCUUGUAUGACAGGCUGAGAUGAGGGAUUAGACCUUCAAACCGUUAACCUGAUUUGGAUAAUGCCAACGUAGGGAGAUAACAAUA